AUCUAAAGUUAUGCAUCGUAGGUGCUCGAAGUAUAAUCCAGGUGAUUUUUUUUUUCUUCCAGUUAAAAUGUUUCCGACUUCAUGCUUCGUGGGAAAGAUGGGUCGAUUCUCAAUGAGUACAGUCAGUCUUAAAUGGCAUGAUUAUAAAAUAUAGCAGGCUCGAAUACCUUUUGACCUUGACUUGAAAAUCGUUUUGGAAAGGAGGAGGAGAAUGAUCUUCUAGCAACAAUGAAAGAGUUGCUUGUGGCAAAAGAUGUUGACAACCACUGGUCUAUCUUCUCUUCUUAUGGGUGGCUGGUUACGUGAGUGAGGAAACGGCUAAAUGAUCGAUGGAUGAUACCAUUCCUGAGAAACGCUUAAAUUAACAAUUGUACGGCAACUGGAUUUAAAUAAACAAUAUUUCUUAUUUUUAUUUAA